rnacentral:lncRNA from 1 species
GCUUUUAAGCCGGAGACCGCGGCGGCCUCUGCUAGGACCCUCCGCCCCGGAGCCGCCGGCCGGAGCCGCAGCCUCUGCCGCAGCGCCCCCGCCUCCCAUCCCCUCCCCUGCCGUCUCAGCCGGAGCCGCCUCCCGCACUCUGGGGUAUGGCUGUCAAUGUGUACUCCACUUCUGUGACCAGUGAGAAUCUGAGUCGCCAUGAUAUGCUUGCAUGGGUCAAUGACUCUCUGCACCUCAAUUAUACCAAGAUUGAACAGCUCUGUUCAGGUAGGAGGCUGGACCAGGGAUUGGCCCAGGGAGACGAGAGAAAGGCUCAUGUGGCUUGUAACUAACAGGAAGAGGGUGAGCCAUGAUAUUACACUGCUUAGAGCUGGAUUCAGGGAACGGAGGCUGGAGAAAUGGGUAAGAGCCAGGACAGACAGUAAAGACACGAGUUAACAACAUGGGGUCCCAUGAAGCCACUCUGGGUCCCAGCUCCCUGUUCUCUGCUGUAGCCCUUGUGGGUGUCAGUUUUCCAAUCCACACAGUUGCCAUCACCUGUCUGUCAGUGUUUGGAAUGGGAUCACUAAUUUUUCAUUUGGGGGAUGGACAUUUAGCUCAGUGGUGAAGUACCUGCUCCGUAUUUCCAGGGCCCUGGGUUUCCUCUUUAGCACCACCAAAAGGUAAAUACAUGAAGAGUAAUCACAGUUCGUCUUGUAAAGGCAAGGGGAAUUUAAUCAUAUGUAGUAUCACAGUUGGGCUGGCCCUAACUCUAGGACCAGGCUUUGGAAAGUGGGCCAGCAGGGGUCCAGGGUGGUAGGUGUACCUGCAUCAGCUGUGCAUCUUCACAGGGGCAGCCUACUGCCAGUUCAUGGACAUGCUCUUCCCUGGCUGUGUUCACUUGAGGAAGGUCAAGUUCCAGGCCAAACUA